GGAGUCUGCAACCCGACUCCAUGAAGCUGGAUUCGCUAGUAAUCGCGCAUCAGCCACGGCGCGGUGAAUACGUUCCCGGGCCUUGUACACACCGCCCGUCAAGCCAUGGAAGCCGGGGGGUGCCUGAAGUGCGCUGCCGCAAGGAGCGCCCUAGGGUAAAACCGGUGACUGGGGCUAAGUCGUAACAAGGUAUC
rnacentral:rRNA from 1 species